rnacentral:rRNA from 1 species
UGCAGGUCUCAGUACGGCCUCCAGCGAAAAGGCGAAACCGCGAAUGGCUCAUUAAAUCAGUUAUGGUUCCUUAGAGACGUAUCCGCAACAGUGGAUAACCGUGGUAAUUCUAGAGCUAAUACAUGCAAACGAAGCUCCAGCCCCGCGCGGCGGAAGAGCCCCCCAACCGGGGUUCCACGCUGCCGGGGACGAGCGCUUUUAUUAGACCGCACGACCGCAUCCUUCCUCCGUCCCUUCGCGGGGGCGGGGGACGUGUUGCGUGGUGACUCUGGAUAAACCUGGCAGAUCGGCCGGUGGCCCUCGUCCGCGGGGGCCGUCGCAAGCCGGCCGACGCAACUUUCAAGUGUCUGACUUAUCAACUUUCGACGGCGAGCUAAACGCCAGCCGUGGUGACGACGGGUGACGGGGAAUCAGGGUUCGAUUCCGGAGAGGAAGCCUGAGAAACGGCUACCACAUCCAAGGAAGGCAGCAGGCUCGCAAAUUACCCACUCCCGGCACGGGGAGGUAGUGACGAAAAAUAACGAUGCGGGACUCGGUCGAGACCCCGCCAUCGGAAUGAGUGGACUGUAAAAAGUUCGCACGAGGAACGACCGGAGGGCAAGUCUGGUGCCAGCCGCUGCGGUAAUUCCAGCUCCGGUAGCAUAUGCUAAAGUUGCUGCGGUUAAAAAGCUCGUAGUUGGAUCUCAGUCUCGGCCGUCCGGUCCCGCCCGCGUCGGCGGGACUCGUUGGCGCCUGCCGGUCAUAACUGUCGGCCGCCCGGGAUGAUCUUGACCGGUUGUCUCGGAACGGUCCGGCGAGUUUACCUUGAAAAAAUCGGAGUGCUCAGAGCGCGGCGUUAAAGAAGCCGCCCGUACGUCGUCGCAUGGAAUAAUGGAAGAAGACCUCGGUCCGAAUGUUUUUACUCAGCGGCUCGGACCCCUGAGGUAAUGGUCAACGGGAGCGGCCGGGGGCGAUCGUAUCGCGACGCUAGAGGUGAAAUUCUUGGACCGUCGCGAGACGAACUACAGCGAAAGCAUUCGUCAAGAGCGCUUCCGUUAAUCAAGAACGAAAGUCAGAGGUUCGAAGGCGAUCAGAUACCGCCCUAGUUUUGACCGUAAACGAUGCCGACCAGCGAUCGGGCUGCGCUCGCCACGACGAGGCGCCCGGAAGCUUACCGGGAAACCAGAGUUUCUGGGUUCCGGGGGAAGUAUGGUUGCAAAGCUGAAACUUAAAGGAAUUGACGGAAGGGCACCACCAGGAGUGGAGCCUGCGGCUUAAUUUGACUCAACACGGGAAAACUCACCCGGCCCGGACACGGGAAGGAUUGACAGACUGAACGAACUUUCUUGAUUCUGUGGGUGGUGGUGCAUGGCCGUUUUUAGUUGGUGGAGCGAUUUGUCUGGUUGAUUCCGAUAACGA